CCUACGGGAGGCAGCAGUGAGGAAUAUUGGUCAAUGGACGAGAGUCUGAACCAGCCAAGUAGCGUGAAGGAUGACUGCCCUAUGGGUUGUAAACUUCUUUUAUAUGGGAAUAAAAUGUUCCACGUGUGGGAUUUUGUAUGUACCAUAUGAAUAAGGAUCGACUAACUCCGUGCCAGCAGCCGGGGUAAUACGGAGGCUCCGAGCGUUAUCCGGUUUUAUUGGGUUUAAAGGGAGCGUAGGUGGAUUGUUAAGUCAGUUGUGAAAGUUUGCGGCUCAACCGUAAAAUUGCAGUUGAAACUGGCAGUCGUGAGUACAGUAGAGGUGGGCGGAAUUCGUGGUGGAGCGGUGAAAUGCUUAGAUAUCACGAAGAACUCCGAGUGCGAAGGCAGCUCACUGGACUGCAACUGACACUGAGGCUCGAAAGUGUGGGUAUCAAACAGGAUUAGAUACCCGUGUAGUC
rnacentral:rRNA from 1 species